rnacentral:rRNA from 1 species
UCCCCUUCCCGGUGCUAUAAUGCAGUCGAGCGGACCGACGGGAGCUUGCUCCCUUAGGUCAGCGGCGGACGGGUGAGUAACACGUGGGUAACCUGCCUGUAAGACUGGGAUAACUCCGGGAAACCGGGGCUAAUACCGGAUGCUUGAUUGAACCGCAUGGUUCAAUCAUAAAAGGUGGCUUUUAGCUACCACUUGCAGAUGGACCCGCGGCGCAUUAGCUAGUUGGUGAGGUAACGGCUCACCAAGGCGACGAUGCGUAGCCGACCUGAGAGGGUGAUCGGCCACACUGGGACUGAGACACGGCCCAGACUCCUACGGGAGGCAGCAGUAGGGAAUCUUCCGCAAUGGACGAAAGUCUGACGGAGCAACGCCGCGUGAGUGAUGAAGGUUUUCGGAUCGUAAAACUCUGUUGUUAGGGAAGAACAAGUACCGUUCGAAUAGGGCGGCACCUUGACGGUACCUAACCAGAAAGCCACGGCUAACUACGUGCCAGCAGCCGCGGUAAUACGUAGGUGGCAAGCGUUGUCCGGAAUUAUUGGGCGUAAAGCGCGCGCAGGCGGUUUCUUAAGUCUGAUGUGAAAGCCCCCGGCUCAACCCGGGGAGGGUCAUUGGAAACUGGGGAACUUGAGUGCAGAAGAGGAGAGUGGAAUUCCACGUGUAGCGGUGAAAUGCGUAGAGAUGUGGAGGAACAUCAGUGGCGAAGGCGACUCUCUGGUCUGUAACUGACGCUGAGGCGCGAAAGCGCGCGGAGCGAACAGGAUUAGAUACCCUGGUAGUCCCGCCGCCAACCAUGAAUGCCAUUGUUUCAGCGUCUCCGCCCUUUAGUGUUGCCCCAA